UGAACCUCAGGUUGCCCAGGUGUUGGGCCACGUCUAUCAGUGUCCCUGAUAAAGGCUCUGGAUCCUGCAGUGUACUGAAAUGACAUACGAGCUGCCAGUCUGGCCUCCUCCUCCGCUCUCAGGAACUGGUGGAGAUUCGCAAACUCACUCUUGAUCUGUCCUGCUGUGGUCUGGGCCUGGGUCUGGAACAGUACAACAAGAUAGACAUGUAGUAUCUGUGUAGGCCUCCACUAUGUUCCUCAGUUUCAUGUUGGACAUGGAGGGAUGGAAAUCGACCAUGGAAUGCCUUCGCCUGCAGACGGGGCAUUCGCGCUGCUUUUGUUGUAUCCAUGCUGGUGUUUCCAGGCAGCCGCGGCAGAAGCUGUGUUGGCAUUUCAGACUCACGGGGUCCUGGAAAAAUUCAAAGCAGAUGGGACAGCUGAGCUCGUCCUCCAGAGCUGCUGUAGGUCCCUGCUGGAGCAUCCUCUUCCUCGGGUAGAGUCAGGUAAAGGCCUUUCUCUCCAGAAUACAGUAUGAACUAGCGACUGUACAUUUGUACAUGCGUCAUUACAACCGUACCCUUACCUUCGCUUGUUCACCAACCCACUGCACGGAAUGUAGGUUUACAGUGCUUGAUUACCUAUUAACAUUUAGUCCGUACCUGUGAUCAAAGUUUAUCCCAGUUAUCCAAUUCAUGCCAAGGCAGAGGUCGCAUAACAUAGCAAUGAAGUCAUUCCUUUGGCACAUGUUGCUGUAUCUCAAGUAAGUGAUAGUGUCUCAGUCGUUCAACAACAACAACACCCCGACAGAAACAGCCACACUUGGUGUCAUGUACAACAGAUCCAAGGCACUGAACAAAGCAGUGUAGAUGCCUGGCAUCUGUUGUUUUGUAAGAAUGUUUGAUGGGAGAAAAAAAAGCUUUUACUGUAGGACUAGUAACUGAUUGACACUUAUUAACCAAUAAUAACUGGUUGGCACUGAUUAACCAAUAAUAACUGGUUGGCACUAAUUUGACACUGAGGUGGUAACAGCCUCAGCCAUAAUUGCCAGUCUGACACACUGCCAAAUCAACUUCAAAAACCUUCUACUCUGAGAGAUGAUUCUGGUCUGUUCUGAUCAGCUAUAACGCAUGGAUUCUGAUAGCAGAACCAGUUAAAAGGCUUUGGCAUCUUGUAACCCAGCACCAUCUGAACUGCAACCCGGCAUAACAAGCUCUGUCAGGCUCAGAGUAGCCUCACAAGUCAGCCGACCAUCAGCUAGUGACUAUUAUAUAAUAGGAUUCUGUUGUGACGUUCAGUUGUGAAAGCUGCCAAAAGGGGGUAGUAGAGCACUGCUAUGGCAGCUGUAUUGUAGUCAGUCACAAUGGAUGAUGUCUGGGGCCCAUUCUUAAGAGGCUAUUAAGUGAAUAUUGAUUAUUUGGCAGAUGAAAUCCCAUGUUACUUUUUAGGGCACAGCUCUAGGCAGACAUGAGAGCAUCUAAUCAAAUAAAGUGUUUUACACAAUA